rnacentral:rRNA from 1 species
GAAUCUUGCGCAAUGGACGAAAGUCUGACGCAGCAACGCCGCGUGUGUGAUGAAGGCUCUCGGGUCGUAAAGCACUGUCAGGAGGGAAGAAACAAAUGACGGUACCCCCAAAGGAAGCACCGGCUAACUCCGUGCCAGCAGCCGCGGUAAUACGGAGGGUGCCAGCGUUGUUCGGAAUUAUUGGGCGUAAAGCGCGCGCAGGUGGCCGGCUAAGUCUGGUGUGAAAGCCCAGGGCUCAACCCUGGAACUGCAUUGGAAACUGGUCGGCUUGAGUCCAAGAGGGGUUAGUGGAAUUCCUGGUGUAGGGGUGAAAUCCGUAGAGAUCAGGAGGAACACCGGUGGCGAAGGCGACUGACUGGAUUGGAACUGACACUGAGGCGCGAAAGUGUGGGGAGCAAACAGGA